rnacentral:rRNA from 1 species
UACGAAGGGGGCGAGCGUUGUUCGGAUUUACUGGGCGUAAAGGGCGCGCAGGCGGCUCAUUUUGUCAGGCGUGAAAGCCCCGGGCUUAACCUGGGAACUGCGUUUGAUACGGAUGGGCUAGAGUUCGGGAGAGGAGAGUGGAAUUCCCAGUGUAGAGGUGAAAUUCGUAGAUAUUCGGAAGAACACCAGUGGCGAAGGCGACUAACUGGACAUGUAUUGACGCUGAGGUGCGAAAGCGUGGGGAGCAAACAGG